rnacentral:lncRNA from 1 species
GCGGCAGUCGGGACCGGGAGAAUCGGACAGAAACCAGCCUCAGAGUCCGGGGCAGGAGCCGUUGACGGCUGCCCCUCAACGCUGCGCUUCGGGUUGGGUUAAGUCCCCAAGGCGUCCUCAGACCACGGCGGGGCUUCAAACGCCCCAGUCCCGAAGACAGGCAGGGGGUCCCUCUGCUGCGCCGGGAUGACAGGCUGGCCCCGACGACCCCGGCCCCGUCCCGCAGCCCUCACCCGCUGAAGAGAUCGGGGAAACCGAAGAAGGUUCUAGAAAGUCUCCGUGGACGACGGGCGCUGGGCGGCCGCUUACCUUGGUGUACUUAAUUUCGAGAUUGGGCGUGGGCGACGGCAGGAGGUGCAGCGACGCCAUGAGGGCGGCGGGGUCGGCCUUCACCUCGCCGGGCAUCUCUAUCUUGCUGGAAGUCAUGGUGGCGGGCCGGGUGUCCCUAGCCCGCGGCGUGGGGCAGUGCGGGCUGUGCGCGCGGUCCGCGGCCCGGGGGCGCGCUCGCCUGUAUAUAGGUGUAAACCAAGAACCUAGAGACCCUGCCUCAGAAUGGGCUUUGGACUCCGUGGACUAAAUCAAGGCCGCAUGGAAAGACCUGCAUAAGUCCCUUCCCUUCCUUACUCCUCACUCCAAAUGGACCCCGGAGACUAUUUUAAACAUGGGAACUAGAUUUGCCUUUGUUGUAAGGCCCAGUUCCAUUUCGUAUAUGUUCGAGAAGCUUCAAUUUGGGUACUGGGAUGAGCGCAGUACUUCAUCAAUAAUCACACUUAACAGACAGGAAGAAAUUAAAAUUCCAGCUGCACCGCCUUUUCUGAAGGGCCUGAGGGAAAAGGCAUUGGCGCCCCCUGCAGUUGAUGGUGUGUAUGUGCAACUGAGUAUUGUCCAUUCAAAUAGCUUGGAUUCAAUGUAUUUUUAUCUGAUACUGGUGAGAAAUCCUUAAGAGAUGUUAUCAUUUAAUUUGAAUUUGUCUGGAGAAAAAAAAUCUCCUAGAGUCAGACAAAUUUUAGAUUUUAGUUAGUUUAGGAGGACUUUCUUUUGACUUACAGGAAAAGAACAAAAGUGUUUCUUAGCCAAAUUUACCGUAGAAAGUGCAAUACUGAGAACACUAUGGUCCCACUCACAUAGUGUUCAGAGCACUCUGUCACAGAGGAAGUUGCAUGAGUGUGUCUCAGAUUGGAAGCUACUGUUUUUAUCUUGUGGGUGAGGAAGAAUUAUUAAUAGACAGAUUCCAGAAUUUAUUUCUCUUCUCGCUCAGUUAAGGACUUGGCGUGUAACUAAGUUGUCUGCUUUUUUCUUUAUUUCACAUUUCUUAGCUUUCCUUUUUCCUUUUACCCUUCUAAAAUCCGUCAAUUCUACAAAUAACUCCUGUUAUUAUUAGGUUGGUGCAAAAGUAAUUGCGAGUUUUGCCAUUUAAAAGUAGUGGCAAAGGCCUCAGUUACUUUGGCAUCAGCCUAAUACUUAACAUAGGACCCUCCGAUUCCUAAGCUUCCUCCCCAAGUGCAUCUGCGCUUAUACAGCCACUCAACUCACAGGAUCUUUGGACAUAAGGAAUUCUCACAUGAACUUUGGCACUAUUCGGGGCAGGGAUCUGUAUUUAUAUUCAUUAGAAAAUGAGGCUAAGUGAACUGUCUCUCUCUUUUUACAUGCUGAAAUGGGCCACUGAAAAGAUAACGAGGAACACUUUAGACGUCCUGACAACAGAGGAGGCAUGGCAGCCUCUUUUGUCUCAACCAAACGGUUUGCUGUGUGAAAGGCAUAGAGUAAAACUGGGAGGCAUUUAGGGCUGGAAUAGGUACCCAAUUUGGACAUCUACCACCAAAUGGCAAGGAGCGGUCUUGCUUCAGGCUGUAUAACCCCACUUUCAGAGCAUCUGUGUUUUCCUGACUGCAGUUCCUAAACCUGGAUUUUUUUUCUCUGUCAGUCAUCUAAGUUCAAUUGAACAAAUAUUCAUUGAGCAUAUACUAUGUGCCAAGCAUUGACAAAGAGUCUAUGAAGAACCCAACGGAAGUUUGUGGCACAUCCCUACCCUCAAAUUCACAGUGAGGGUGGAAUGACAGUAACCAAAUCUGUGAAAAUAUUCACAUGAGACAGGAAAGAAGUCAGAAUAUCCAGUGUACAAUGAGAGUGAAAGAGGAUGUCUAAAAGGGGACAGCCCAUUCACAACCCACACACAACCCACGCACAAAUAUUUUUGGGGGGGCCUCCCAUGGGCAUUUAUAAUCUUCUAAGUGCUCCGAAGAACAUGUGUCACAAAAGAUGAAGAGAAUAUUUUCCAGAACAUAGCCCAACAAAGAACUUCUUUGACAUUUUUUAGUGUAAAGGUAACUGACGGUAUCUACCAAAUUAGCAAUUUGUAAAACUGGAAUUUCUAAAAGCAAAUACUUGGAGCUGAGAUUACCUCCCACUUCCCAAAUUCGAGUUAUAUGAUCUCAAGUAUAAUACCCUUUGGUAUAGACCUAGCCAGAAGAGAUAAUAGAGGUGAAAACAAGGGCAGCUUAUUUUUUUUCCAUUAAAAGCAUUAUAUAUAACACUA